UACGAAGGGGGCUAGCGUUGUUCGGAUUUACUGGGCGUAAAGCGCACGUAGGCGGUUCUUUAAGUCAGAGGUGAAAUCCCAAGGCUCAACCUUGGAACUGCCUUUGAUACUGGGGAUCUUGAGUCCGGGAGAGGUGAGUGGAACUGCGAGUGUAGAGGUGAAAUUCGUAGAUAUUCGCAAGAACACCAGUGGCGAAGGCGGCUCACUGGCCCGGUGCUGACGCUGAGGUGCGAAAGCGUGGGGAGCAAACAGG
rnacentral:rRNA from 1 species